UCCCUGGAGGUCCAGUGGUUAGGACUCUGCACUUUCACUGCCAAGACCUGGGUUCAAUCCCUGGUUGGGGAA
rfam:TPA: Bos taurus chromosome 11, whole genome shotgun sequence.